AAAAAGAUAAACCGUGAGUUUCCGUGUCCAACGUUUGACUGUCGGUCUUAUAUGAAAUUUUUAAUUAGUAUUUUUAUUGUUUUUAGAUGAUAAAACAUGAUUAUUAUUUUAUGCGUGAUUUGUCUUUUUAAUUUUUUCAAUAAGACGGACGGUCAAAAGUUGGA
rfam:Oryza meridionalis cultivar OR44 (W2112) chromosome 1, whole genome shotgun sequence.